rnacentral:rRNA from 1 species
UAGUCUGCAACCCGACUACAUGAAGCUGGAAUCGCUAGUAAUCGCGGAUCAGAAUGCCGCGGUGAAUACGUUCCCGGGUCUUGUACACACCGCCCGUCACACCAUGGGAGUCGGAAAUGCCCGAAGUCUGUGACCCAACCACGAGGAGGGAGCAGCCGAAGGCAGGUCGGAUGACUGGGGUGAAGUCGUAACAAGGUACC